rnacentral:rRNA from 1 species
CGGAGGGUGCGAGCGUUAUCCGGAAUUACUGGGUUUAAAGGGUGCGUAGGCGGCCAUGUAAGUCAGGAGUGAAAGUUUGCGGCUCAACCGUAAAAUUGCUUUUGAUACUGCAUGGCUGGAAUCAGGAUGAGGUCAGCGGAAUGUGGCAUGUAGCGGUGAAAUGCAUAGAUAUGCCAUAGAACACCAAUUGCGAAGGCAGCUGGCUAGACCUGUAUUGACGCUGAGGCACGAAAGCGUGGGGAGUGAACAGGAUUAGAUACCCUGGUAGUCCACGCCCGAAACGAUGCUUACUCGACGUAUGGCACUAGUUGUUGUGCGUCCAAGGGAAACCGUUAAGUAAGCCACCUGGGGAGUACGACCGCAAGGUUG